rnacentral:snRNA from 1 species
GUGCUCGCUUCAGCAGCACAUAUACUAAAAUUGGAACGAUACAGAGAAGAUUGGCACUAGCACGGCCUCUGCGUGAGGAUGACAUGCAAAUUCGUGAAGCGUUCCAUAUUUUU